CUGGCGGCGUGCCUAAUACAUGCAAGUCGAACGGCUUUCUAUGGAAGCUUGCUUCCACUGAGAAGAUAGUGGCGAACGGGUGAGUAACACGUGGGUAACCGUGCCCAUAAGAGGGGGAGUAACAGCUGGAAACGGCUGCUAAUACCGCAUAAGCUUUUUGAGACGUAUGUUUUAGAAAGUAAAGGAGGCGCAAGCUUUCGCUUAUGGAUGGGCCCGCGUCUGAUUAGCUAGUUGGUAGGGUAGAGGCCUACCAAGGCAACGAUCAGUAGCCGGCCUGAGAGGGUGGACGGCCACACUGGGACUGAGAACGGCCCAGACUCCUACGGGAGGCAGCAGUGGGGAAUAUUGCGCAAUGGGGGAAACCCUGACGCAGCGACGCCGCGUGAGCGAAGAAGGCCUUCGGGUUGUAAAGCUCUGUUGUAAGGGACGAAUGUCUAGGGUAGUAACUGACCUUAGAAUGACGGUACCUUACCAGCAAGCCCCGGCUAACUACGUGCCAGCCGCCGC
rnacentral:rRNA from 1 species